CACGUUCCCAAGGGCGGACAGAGAAAGGCACAGAGGAGCUGAGCUUGGUGAGGAGUUUUCUCUGCUUUUCCCGCCGCCUCCUCCCAGUGCUUUAGCAUCACAGCUCCCCAGGUCCAGCAGGUGGAGGCGACUACGACCCCCUGACACUGAAAUGUGUGGAAAAACAGGAUGAAACUGAAGUGGAGCUUUUAAAAAGAGAACAAAGAAUGGAUCCCUGCCCAAUCCAACAGGACAAUUUAGUGCGUUUGACAGUGAAGCUGCAGCUCUUAAGAUAUGCAACGUGAAGAGCAUGUGGGAGUUCCUGUGUUCUUCCUCUGUGGUGUUGGGCCGCUGGCUGCUGUGGCGAGCUGCGAUGGCUGCAUCCAGGAACCAGGCCGCCUUCUCUGGGGUGGGAGCACGGAG